GAGGGGUGGCAGAACUAUAAUGCCUCAGGCCUAAGACCUGACAAUGAGAUUUAACUCCCCCUCC
rnacentral:tRNA from 1 species